AGUUUGAUCCUGGCUCAGGAUGAACGCUAGCUACAGGCUUAACACAUGCAAGUCGAGGGGCAGCGAUGAAGAAAGCUUGCUUUCUUCAGGCGGCGACCGGCGCACGGGUGAGUAACGCGUAUCGAACCUGCCUCAUACUCAGGAAUAGCCUUGCGAAAGUAAGAUUAAUGCCCGAUGUUAUUAGGAUAUCACAUGAUGUUUUAAUUAAAGAUUUAUCGGUAUGAGAUGGCGAUGCGUCCCAUUAGUUUGUUGGCGGGGUAACGGCCCACCAAGACAUCGAUGGGUAGGGGUUCUGAGAGGAAGGUCCCCCACAUUGGAACUGAGACACGGUCCAAACUCCUACGGGAGGCAGCAGUGAGGGAUAUUGGUCAAUGGACGCAAGUCUGAACCAGCCAAGUAGCGUGCAGGAAGACGGCCCUCUGGGUUGUAAACUGCUUUUAGUUGGGAAUAAAGUGCAUCACGUGUGAUGUUUUGUAUGUACCAUCAGAAAAAGGACCGGCUAAUUCCGUGCCAGCAGCCGCGGUAAUACGGAAGGUCCAGGCGUUAUCCGGAUUUAUUGGGUUUAAAGGGAGCGCAGGCGGACCUUUAAGUCAGCUGUGAAAUACGGCGGCUCAACCGUCGAACUGCAGUUGAUACUGGAGGUCUUGAGUGCACACAGGGAUACUGGAAUUCAUGGUGUAGCGGUGAAAUGCUCAGAUAUCAUGAAGAACUCCGAUCGCGAAGGCAGGUAUCCGGGGUGCAACUGACGCUGAGGCUCGAAAGUGCGGGUAUCAAACAGGAUUAGAUACCCUGGUAGUCCGCACAGUAAACGAUGAAUACUCGCGAUUUGCGAUACACAGUAAGUCGCCAAGCGAAAGCGUUUAGUAUUCCACCUGGGGAGUACGCCGGCAACGGUGAAACUCAAAGGAAUUGACGG
rnacentral:rRNA from 1 species